rnacentral:lncRNA from 1 species
CAAAAGACAAAAUCGAUGGUUUUAUUGCAUAUAUUGUACUGUUAUACAUAUACUGAAUAAGGCGCAAGCUCUUACACAAUUCUACGAAUGAAUAAAAGAAAAUCUUUAAUUGUGAUAAAAAAAAAGCUUGUGUGUGCUACUGCUGACUGUUUAUGUAUAUGAUAAUAAACCACUGAAUUUAAAAUAUACUCUUAAGAGUCGAAAUAUGAUGAAGGGAUCAUUCAAACUCGAAGGCAAAUAUUAUACAAGUUCGAACGAAAAAUAUAAACAAGCCUUAAUUGAAAUAAACGUUCAAACUUAUGGUUUCUGGUUGCGUUGGAUAUAAACCACAAUUUUUAUACAUAUGCAUGCAAGAACAAAUCUUGGAAGAAGGGUCUAAAUACAGUACGAACAAAAUUUCCCAAAAGAAAAAAAUGGAAAAAGUAUAUUUUUACAAAAUGAAUUUGACUACCGGGUUGAUCAACGGAUGCUCGUAAACACUGCUGACUACCAUGGCGAGUGCCAAAAAAAUCAGAUCAAUAGAUCUUAAUUAUUUAUUUGAUACCAAAC